GCUGAGGGGGCUUAGUGGUGGGUGUGACUGCGUACCUUUUGUAUAAUGGGUCAGCGACUUAUAUUCUGUAGCAAGGUUAACCGCAUAGGGGAGCCGGAGGGAAACCGAGUCUUAAUUGGGCGUUAAGUUGCAGGGUAUAGACCCGAAACCCGGUGAUCUAGCCAUGGGCAGGUUGAAGGUUGGGUAACACUAACUGGAGGACCGAACCGACUAAUGUUGAAAAAUUAGCGGAUGACCUGUGGCUGGGGGUGAAAGGCCAAUCAAACCGGGAGAUAGCUGGUUCUCCCCGAAAGCUAUUUAGGUAGCGCCUCGUGAAUUCAUCUCCGGGGGUAGAGCACUGUUUCGGCUAGGGGGCCAUCCCGGCUUACCAACCCGAUGCAAACUGCGAAUACCGGAGAAUGUUAUCACGGGAGACACACGGCGGGUGCUAACGUCCGUCGUGAAGAGGGAAACAACCCAGACCGCCAGCUAAGGUCCCAAAGUCAUGGUUAAGUGGGAAACGAUGUGGGAAGGCCCAGACAGCCAGGAUGUUGGCUUAGAAGCAGCCAUCAUUUAAAGAAAGCGUAAUAGCUCACUGGUCGAGUCGGCCUGCGCGGAAGAUGUAACGGGGCUAAACCAUGCACCNNGAAGGUGGCCUGUGAGGGUUGCUGGAGGUAUCAGAAGUGCGAAUGCUGACAUAAGUAACGAUAAAGCGGGUGAAAAGCCCGCUCGCCGGAAGACCAAGGGUUCCUGUCCAACGUUAAUCGGGGCAGGGUGAGUCGACCCCUAAGGCGAGGCCGAAAGGCGUAGUCGAUGGGAAACGGGUUAAUAUUCCCGUACUUGGUGUUACUGCGAAGGGGGGACGGAGAAGGCUAUGUUGGCCGGGCGACGGUUGUCCCGGUUUAAGCGUGUAGGUGUGUGUUCCAGGUAAAUCCGGUUCACUUUAACACUGAGGCGUGACGACGAGGCACUACGGUGCUGAAGCAACAAAUGCCCUGCUUCCAGGAAAAGCCUCUAAGCAUCAGGUAACAUCAAAUCGUACCCCAAACCGACACAGGUGGUCAGGUAGAGAAUACCAAGGCGCUUGAGAGAACUCGGGUGAAGGAACUAGGCAAAAUGGUGCCGUAACUUCGGGAGAAGGCACGCUGACACGUAGGUGAAGUGAUUUACUCAUGGAGCUGAAGUCAGUCGAAGAUACCAGCUGGCUGCAACUGUUUAUUAAAAACACAGCACUGUGCAAACACGAAAGUGGACGUAUACGGUGUGACGCCUGCCCGGUGCCGGAAGGUUAAUUGAUGGGGUCAGCGCAAGCGAAGCUCCUGAUCGAAGCCCCGGUAAACGGCGGCCGUAACUAUAACGGUCCUAAGGUAGCGAAAUUCCUUGUCGGGUAAGUUCCGACCUGCACGAAUGGCGUAAUGAUGGCCAGGCUGUCUCCACCCGAGACUCAGUGAAAUUGAACUCGCUGUGAAGAUGCAGUGUACCCGCGGCAAGACGGAAAGACCCCGUGAACCUUUACUAUAGCUUGACACUGAACAUUGAGCCUUGAUGUGUAGGAUAGGUGGGAGGCUUUGAAGCGUGGACGCCAGUCUGCGUGGAGCCGACCUUGAAAUACCACCCUUUAAUGUUUGAUGUUCUAACGUGGACCCGUUACCCGGGUUGCGGACAGUGUCUGGUGGGUAGUUUGACUGGGGCGG
rnacentral:rRNA from 1 species